CAUAAUUGGCAGAGAGCAGUUAAGCCUGCCAUUGUAUUCCGUGAACGUGACAGUAAGGACGCUAUAAGACGGUUUUAAAACACUUCAAAUUAAGCGUGGCGAGCAACAUCUUUCGCAGAGCCGAUUAGCCUCGAUGUCAGUGCAAUUUGUCAGUGUAUUGGAGCAUCACAAAACUUUUACAUACGUGGACAGAAAAGCCAGCAUCUAAGGGGUCCAAGGGCAGAGCAUUGACUGUUGAAAAAGGGAGCGGUUCCUGUGUUGUAUUAGUGGAACAAUUUCUCCAUUCCACUUACAAGACUUUGGGAGAGGAGGAAGCGACCGACACACCAGGGAAGGAUGAUGAAAUUUUUGAGGACCACGACUAUGCUUCUGCUUCUUGAAGAAAUCGUAUGUAUGAGAAGGGAGGUCCUCCAGCUGAGGAAACAAAUUGAAACCCUUACAAAGAAACAGCGGUUUGGCAUUCACUGUUGGCUCGGACAUACGCAUUUAUACAAGGAGGCUCUGUGGUUACGUGGCGGAGGUGAUGAGAGAAGGUGCUGGUCGGGCGGCUCCCAGACCGAACGCAUUGCGCUGUCCACCCGAGGCGGUGCUGAAGAGAGCUGGUCAGCGGCUGCCGCUUCUGUCGGGUAUGUGCUCAAUGAGUCGGACAUUCUAUACAAACAGAUUAAGAAAUCGAACGGAGGCUUCGUGUAAGUUUUUAAAGUGUCCCCCACUGUUAAGUACGGAGCGCGAGGCGUGUUGUUACGUAACCUCUGAGAAGGCGACGGACUG